GUGGAUGAGUUGCGGACAUUUGUGUUUGGUGGCGGAGGAGAGAAUACAGAGAGGUGGAUGAAGCGACCCGAAAUGAGGAAAAGAUAUUCCUUCUUUU